rnacentral:rRNA from 1 species
AGAGUUUGAUCAUGGCUCAGAUUGAACGCUGGCGGCAGGCCUAACACAUGCAAGUCGAGCGGUAGCACAGAGAGCUUGCUCUCGGGUGACGAGCGGCGGACGGGUGAGUAAUGUCUGGGAAACUGCCUGAUGGAGGGGGAUAACUACUGGAAACGGUAGCUAAUACCGCAUAACGUCGCAAGACCAAAGUGGGGGACCUUCGGGCCUCAUGCCAUCAGAUGUGCCCAGAUGGGAUUAGCUAGUAGGUGGGGUAACGGCUCACCUAGGCGACGAUCCCUAGCUGGUCUGAGAGGAUGACCAGCCACACUGGAACUGAGACACGGUCCAGACUCCUACGGGAGGCAGCAGUGGGGAAUAUUGCACAAUGGGCGCAAGCCUGAUGCAGCCAUGCCGCGUGUGUGAAGAAGGCCUUCGGGUUGUAAAGCACUUUCAGCGGGGAGGAAGGCGUUAAGGUUAAUAACCUUGGCGAUUGACGUUACCCGCAGAAGAAGCACCGGCUAACUCCGUGCCAGCAGCCGCGGUAAUACGGAGGGUGCAAGCGUUAAUCGGAAUUACUGGGCGUAAAGCGCACGCAGGCGGUCUGUCAAGUCGGAUGUGAAAUCCCCGGGCUCAACCUGGGAACUGCAUUCGAAACUGGCAGGCUAGAGUCUUGUAGAGGGGGGUAGAAUUCCAGGUGUAGCGGUGAAAUGCGUAGAGAUCUGGAGGAAUACCGGUGGCGAAGGCGGCCCCCUGGACAAAGACUGACGCUCAGGUGCGAAAGCGUGGGGAGCAAACAGGAUUAGAUACCCUGGUAGUCCACGCCGUAAACGAUGUCGAUUUGGAGGUUGUGCCCUUGAGGCGUGGCUUCCGGAGCUAACGCGNNNNNNNNNNNNNNNNNNNNNNGGCUCACCUAGGCGACGAUCCCUAGCUGGUCUGAGAGGAUGACCAGCCACACUGGAACUGAGACACGGUCCAGACUCCUACGGGAGGCAGCAGUGGGGAAUAUUGCACAAUGGGCGCAAGCCUGAUGCAGCCAUGCCGCGUGUGUGAAGAAGGCCUUCGGGUUGUAAAGCACUUUCAGCGGGGAGGAAGGCGUUAAGGUUAAUAACCUUGGCGAUUGACGUUACCCGCAGAAGAAGCACCGGCUAACUCCGUGCCAGCAGCCGCGGUAAUACGGAGGGUGCAAGCGUUAAUCGGAAUUACUGGGCGUAAAGCGCACGCAGGCGGUCUGUCAAGUCGGAUGUGAAAUCCCCGGGCUCAACCUGGGAACUGCAUUCGAAACUGGCAGGCUAGAGUCUUGUAGAGGGGGGUAGAAUUCCAGGUGUAGCGGUGAAAUGCGUAGAGAUCUGGAGGAAUACCGGUGGCGAAGGCGGCCCCCUGGACAAAGACUGACGCUCAGGUGCGAAAGCGUGGGGAGCAAACAGGAUUAGAUACCCUGGUAGUCCACGCCGUAAACGAUGUCGAUUUGGAGGUUGUGCCCUUGAGGCGUGGCUUCCGGAGCUAACGCGUUAAAUCGACCGCCUGGGGAGUACGGCCGCAAGGUUAAAACUCAAAUGAAUUGACGGGGGCCCGCACAAGCGGUGGAGCAUGUGGUUUAAUUCGAUGCAACGCGAAGAACCUUACCUGGUCUUGACAUCCACAGAACUUUCCAGAGAUGGAUUGGUGCCUUCGGGAACUGUGAGACAGGUGCUGCAUGGCUGUCGUCAGCUCGUGUUGUGAAAUGUUGGGUUAAGUCCCGCAACGAGCGCAACCCUUAUCCUUUGUUGCCAGCGGUUAGGCCGGGAACUCAAAGGAGACUGCCAGUGAUAAACUGGAGGAAGGUGGGGAUGACGUCAAGUCAUCAUGGCCCUUACGACCAGGGCUACACACGUGCUACAAUGGCAUAUACAAAGAGAAGCGACCUCGCGAGAGCAAGCGGACCUCAUAAAGUAUGUCGUAGUCCGGAUUGGAGUCUGCAACUCGACUCCAUGAAGUCGGAAUCGCUAGUAAUCGUAGAUCAGAAUGCUACGGUGAAUACGUUCCCGGGCCUUGUACACACCGCCCGUCACACCAUGGGAGUGGGUUGCAAAAGAAGUAGGUAGCUUAACCUUCGGGAGGGCGCUUACCACUUUGUGAUUCAUGACUGGGGUGAAGUCGUAACAAGGUAACCGUAGGGGAACCUGCGGUUGGAUCACCU